rnacentral:lncRNA from 1 species
UACUUGGCUUAGUUAGAUUGGAUCUAUAUACAUGCUUAGGAUCGUAUAGCGUUUAUCCAUCGGAUCCAUGGGUAAAUGAUAGAUAUUGUGUAUGCGUGGUGCUUAUACCGUAUUUAUCUGCGAUUGUACCCAAUAUGCCAGAUCGUGGGGUAGUUCGUGAUAGUGACAGCUUCAUUGAUUCUUAUAUAGUCCCCCUCUCGUGUAUUGGGC